AAUAGUUUGCCUGAAAAAAAGGAUUAUUUUGAUAGAAUAAAUUAUACAUAAAAUGUAUCUAUUA
rnacentral:tRNA from 1 species